rnacentral:rRNA from 1 species
UACGAAGGGUGCAAGCGUUAAUCGGAAUUACUGGGCGUAAAGCGUGCGUAGGCGGUUUCUUAAGUCUGCUGUGAAAGCCCUGGGCUCAACCUGGGAAUGGCGGUGGAAACUACCAAGCUGGAGUACGGUAGGGGCAGAGGGGAAUUUCCGGUGGAGCGGUGAAAUGCGUAGAGAUCGGAAAGAACACCACGGCGAAAGCACUCUGCUGGGCCGACACUGACACUGAGAGACGAAGCUAGGGGAGCGAAUGGGA